rnacentral:misc_RNA from 1 species
UGCCUAGUUUCACCUCCAAUUGGUUUCAUACCAAUUGAGGUUACACAUUCAAGGUUAUAGGCUAAAAUAUACACUGCCCUCAAUAUGCAAUUCACAUCCCAACUUCAAACACACACUUACCUUUGCAAGGUUUACUUCCAUACCCUACCAAACUGUUUUGGCACAUUACCAACAACAUUUUCUACAUUACAUUUGCAUUAUUUUGGGCAGAUUCCAAUCACCCUCAACACACCAAAUAUCAUUCACAAUUAUAAUUCUAAGUACCAUUACAAAUACACCUAAAUAUUACAAACUUUACAUACACUUUACAACAUUAAUUUACAUACAUAACAUCCAUCCUUCUAGGUCAAUAUGCUGUCCACACUUCCUUCAAUAUACACCAUUUCUCAAGUGUCCACAAGCUUGCCUGUUGGGUGUUGACUUUCUUGGAUUUUCUCACUGAAAAUGUGGAUUUUGGAUCAAUUUAUCACUCUUUGUCUUGGGCAGCGUUGGGAGCUUGAGGCUGAAUUUGGGAGAGAGACCGAUGGAAGUCUAUUCCAAAAGCAAAUAAGAGGCGGCUGUUGAAGAAACAAUGUGUGAAACAGGAGAAUAAGAUAGGCUUAG